AGAAGAUACCGCGGGCGCACGGCGGAUGCCUUGGCAUGGGAAGCCGAAGAAGGGCGCGGCAAGCUGCGAUAAGCCCCGGGGAGGCGCAAACGGCCUUCGAUCCGGGGAUUCCCGAAUGGGGGAACCCAGCAGGGGUCAUGCCCUGCUACCCGCACCCGAAUCCAUAGGGUGCGAGGAGGCAACCGGGGGAACUGAAACAUCUAAGUACCCCGAGGAAAGGAAAUCAACCGAGACUCCGGGAGUAGCGGCGAGCGAAACCGGACCAGAGCCCAAACCCGCGCACGUGCAAGCGACAGGGCGUUGCUGCGCGGGGGUUGCGGGGCGAGCCAUCCCGAGAGCCUGCUCUCUCGGGCGGAGUUACAAAGCGUCAUGGAAGCGGAACGGCAUGGGAAGGCCGGCCGCAGCGGGUGAGAGCCCCGUACGCGGAUCCAUGGCGCCUCCGAGGCGCGUCCCCGAGUAGGGCCGGGCACGUGAAACCCGGUCCGAAGCAGGGGGGACCACCCUCCAAGGCUGAGCACUCUCCCAUGACCGAUAGCGAACCAGUACCGUGAGGGAAAGGUGAAAAGCACCCCGAGAGGGGAGUGAAACAGUACCUGAAACCGUGUGCCUACAAGCAGUCGGAGCAGCCAUGCGCUGUGACGGCGUGCCUUUUGUAGAAUGAGCCAGCGAGUUGCGGUUGGCGGCGAGGUUAAGGCGUGAACCGAGCCGCAGUGAAAGCGAGCCUUUAAGAUGGCGAUCAGUCGCCAGCCGCAGACGCGAAGCCGGGUGAUCUAUCCAUGGGCAGGCUGAGGCAGAGGUAAGACUCUGUGGAGGGCCGAACCCACUUCGGUUGAAAACGGAGGGGAUGACCCGUGGAUAGGGGUGAAAGGCCAAUCAAACCCGGAGAUAUCUCGUUCUCCCCGAAAUAGCUUUAGGGCUAGCCUCGAUCGCUUACCGACGGUGGUAGAGCACUGGAUCCGUGCGGGGGCCUCACCGCCUACCAACCGAAACCAAACUCCGAAUGCCGUCGGUCCCGAGAUCGGGAGUCAGAACAUGUGGGCUAAGCCGUGUGUUCGAGAGGGAAACAGCCCAGACCGCCUGCUAAGGUCCCCAAAUCAACGCUGAGUGGCAAAGGAUGUGCGUUUGCCUAGACAACCAGGAUGUUGGCUUAGAAGCAGCCAUGCAUUUAAAGAGUGCGUAACAGCUCACUGGUCAAGUGGACAUGCGCCGACAAUACACGGGGCUAAGCGUUGUACCGAAGCAGCGGACUGUUUUAUCAGUGGUAGGGGAGCUUUCCAUGCCGGGGCGAAGCCGACGGGCGACCGUCGGUGGACUGCAUGGAAGUGAGAAUGCUGGCAUGAGUAACGAGAGAGGGGCGAGAAACCCCUCCGCCGUAAGCCUAAGGGUUCCUGGGCAAGGCUAAUCCCCCCAGGGUCAGUCGGGAGCUAAGGCGAGGCCGACAGGCGUAGCCGAUGCACAACAGGCGGACAUUCCUGUACCACCGCGGAGCGUUACUACGACGGGGUGACGGAGAAGGGUAGCCGGGCGGGGUUCUGGACGUCCCCGUGAAAGCGCGUAGGCCGCAGGGCAGGCAAAUCCGCCCUGCAGCGAGGCCGAGACGUUAGACGAAGCUUCAUGUGAAGCCGGCGAGCCCAUGCUUCCGAGAAAAACCUCUAAGGAGCGAGGCGGUGCCCGUACCAAAACCGACACAGGUAGGCGGGUAGAGCAUACCAAGGCGAUCGGGAGAACCAUGGUUAAGGAACUCGGCAUACUGACUCCGUAACUUCGGGAGAAGGAGUGCCCCCGCCUGUGAGGUCCCACGCGGACGGAGCGGGAGGGGGUCGCAGCGAAACGGCCCAAGCGACUGUUUACCAAAAACACAGGACUCUGCAAAGCCGCAAGGCGACGUAUAGGGUCUGACGCCUGCCCGGUGCUGGAAGGUUACGCGGAUGAGUUAGCGCAAGCGAAGCCCUGAAGCCAAGCCCCAGUAAACGGCGGCCGUAACUAUAACGGUCCUAAGGUAGCGAAAUUCCUUGUCGGGU
rnacentral:rRNA from 1 species